rnacentral:rRNA from 1 species
GAAAGCUUGGGGAGCGAACAGGAUUAGAUACCUUGGUAGUCCACGCCGUAAACGGUGGGCACUAGUUGUGGGAACCUUCCACGGUUUCUGCGACGCAGCUAACGCAUUAAGUGCCCCGCCUGGGGAGUACGAUCGCAAGAUUAAAACUCAAAGGAAUUGACGGGGCCCCGCACAAGCAGCGGAGCAUGGGGCUUAAUUCGACGCAACGCGAAGAACCUUACCAAGGCUUGACAUAUACAGGAAUAUGGCAGAAAUGUCAUAGCCGCAAGGUCUGUAUACAGGUGGUGCAUGGUUGUCGUCAGCUCGUGUCGUGAGAUGUUGGGUUAAGUCCCGCAACGAGCGCAACCCUCGUUCUGUGUUGCCAGCAUUUAGUUGGGGACUCACAGGAGACUGCCGGGGUUAACUCGGAGGAAGGUGGGGAUGACGUCAAAUCAUCAUGCCCCUUAUGUCUUGGGCUGCACGCAUGCUACAAUGGCUGGUACAGACGGCUGCGAUACCGCAAGGUGGAGCGAAUCCGAUAAAGCCAGUCUCAGUUCGGAUUGGGGUCUGCAACUCGACCCCAUGAAGUCGGAGUUGCUAGUAAUCGUAGAUCAGCAACGCUACGGUGAAUACGUUCCCGGGGCUUGUACACACCGCCCGUCACGUCACGAAAGUCGGUAACACCCGAAGUCAGUGGCCCAACCGUAAGGGG